AAUGAAAUAGUUCAGUUGGUAGAACAUUGGAAUCAUACCCCAAAAGACAAGGGUUCAAUUCCCUUUUUCAUUA
rnacentral:tRNA from 1 species